AAGUGUUAAGAUUUUGACUGCUAUGAUCCUAUAAUAACUUCAUAGUUAAGCGUGUUUGGGCGAGAGUAGUACUAAGAUGGGUGACCUAGUAGGAAGUCCUCUUGUUGCACCUC
rfam:Lupinus angustifolius cultivar Tanjil chromosome LG11, whole genome shotgun sequence.